rnacentral:rRNA from 1 species
AUUGAACGCUGGCGGCAUGCCUAACACAUGCAAGUCGAACGGCAGCACAGUAAAGAUUUCGGUCUUUAUGGGUGGCGAGUGGCGGACGGGUGAGUAAUGCGUAGGAAUCUGUCCUGGAGAGUAGGAUAACCCGAGGAAACUCGGGCUAAUACUGCAUGAUAUCGAGAGAUCAAAGGCCGGGGACCCUUCGGGGCCUGGCGCUCUAGGAUGAGCCUACGUCGGAUUAGCUAGUUGGUGGGGUAAAGGCCUACCAAGGCGACGAUCCGUAGCUGGUCUGAGAGGAUGACCAGCCACACUGGGACUGAGACACGGCCCAGACUCCUACGGGAGGCAGCAGUGGGGAAUCUUGGACAAUGGGGGAAACCCUGAUCCAGCGAUGCCGCGUGUGUGAAGAAGGCCUUCGGGUUGUAAAGCACUUUAGUUGGGGAAGAAAAGUAAUGAGUGGAUAACUGAUUGCUCUGACGGUACCCAAAGAAUAAGCACCGGCUAACUCUGUGCCAGCCGCCGCAGUAA